rnacentral:misc_RNA from 1 species
AACUGAUACUACCUGCGGGAACCUGCGGAGGGAUCAUUAUUGAAUAAACUUGAUGUGGUUGUAGCUGGCUUCGGCAUGUGCUCGCCCGUCAUUCUUAUCUUUCCACCUGUGCACUUUUUGUAGACUUUCCGAGGCAAACUCGGUUGGGAGGAACUGCUUCAUUAGCUUUCCUUGUAUGUCCAGGUCUAUGUUUUCACAUACCCCAAAGAAUGUAACAGAAUGUAUUGUUGGGCCCUUGUG